UAAAGGUGCACAUUGCACACUCGAGUUGACCCAUUUUGGAGUAAACGUCAAUAAGAGCACUUCGGACAAAUACAUCAGACUCCAGACCAACUUUAAGUAAGCUACAGUGGAGCUGCCUAAGAUUGGAAAGGUCAUCACAAGCUCUCAGAACAGAGGAGUAAGUAAACAUAUUAGGUUUCACGCCAUCUCUCAUCAUGAAGAUCAAAAACUCCAAAGCCUUGUUAUUGAUCUUAGCACUAGAGUAGGCAGCUAUCAUGGUAGUCCAGGAAACAACAUUCCUCUCAGACAUUUGAUCAAACAAAGCCUGCGCUUCCUCCAACAUGUUAAACUUCACAUACAUAUUCAUAAGUGUGUUAACAAGGAAAGUUUUAGGCUCAUAACCAUUCGAGAACACAUGCUGGUGGACACGUUUACCAUGUUCCACUGCGCCACG
rnacentral:misc_RNA from 1 species